rnacentral:rRNA from 1 species
GAUGAACGCUGGCGGCGUGCCUAAUACAUGCAAGUCGAGCGAACAGAUGAGGAGCUUGCUCCUCUGACGUUAGCGGCGGACGGGUGAGUAACACGUGGAUAACCUACCUAUAAGACUGGGAUAACUUCGGGAAACCGGAGCUAAUACCGGAUAAUAUCUUGAACCGCAUGGUUCAAUAGUGAAAGACGGUUUUGCUGUCACUUCUAGAUGGAUCCGCGCCGCAUUAGCUAGUUGGUAAGGUAACGGCUUACCAAGGCAACGAUGCGUAGCCGACCUGAGAGGGUGAUCGGACACACUGGAACUGAGACACGGUCCAGACUCCUACGGGAGGCAGCAGUAGGGAAUCUUCCGCAAUGGGCGAAAGCCUGACGGAGCAACGCCGCGUGAGUGAUGAAGGUCUUCGGAUCGUAAAACUCUGUUAUUAGGGAAGAACAAAUGUGUAAGUAACUAUGCACGUCUUGACGGUACCUAAUCAGAAAGCAACGGCUAACUACGUG